GGCUGAGGACGACCUCGACACGAUUCCCAUGGCCGGGACGACCCG
rnacentral:ncRNA from 1 species